rnacentral:rRNA from 1 species
UUCUGGUUGAUCCUGCCAGACCUGACUGCUAUCGGAUUGAUACUAAGCCAUGCGAGUCUUUGUAGUAAUACAAGGCAGACGGCUCAGUAACACGUAGUCAACCUACCCUAUGGACGAGAAUAAUCUCGGGAAACUGAGCAUAAUUCUUGAUAGAUCAUAAUGCCUGGAAUGGUUUAUGGUUAAAAUGAUUCGUCGCCAUAGGAUGGGACUGCGGCCUAUCAGCUUGUUGGUGAGGUAAUGGCCCACCAAGGCGAUUACAGGUACGGGCUCUGAGAGGAGAAGCCCGGAGAUGGGUACUGAGACACGGACCCAGGCCCUAUGGGGCGCAGCAGGCGAGAAAACUUUGCAAUGUGCGAAAGCACGACAAGGUUAAUCCGAGUGAUUUCUGCUAAAGAAAUCUUUUGCCAGUCGUAAAACCGCUGGUGAAUAAGGGGUGGGCAAGUUCUGGUGCCAGCAGCCGCGGUAAU